GAUGAAGAACGUAGCGAAAUGCGAUAAGUAAUGUGAAUUGCAGAAUUCAGUGAAUCAUCGAAUCUUUGAACGCACAUUGCGCCCUCUGGUAUUCCGGAGGGCAUGCCUGUUCGAGCGUCAUUUCGACCCUCAAGCAUUGCUUGGUGUUGGGGCACCGCCUGUAAAAGGGCGGGCCCUGAAAUCUAGUGGCGAGCUCGCCAGGACCCCGAGCGUAGUAAUUAUAUUUCGUUCUGGAAGGCCCUGGCGGUGCCCUGCCGUUAAACCCCCAACUUCUGAAAAUUUGACCUCGGAUCAGGUAGGAAUACCCGCUGAACUUAAGCAUAUCAAUAAGCGGAGG
rnacentral:misc_RNA from 1 species